rnacentral:rRNA from 1 species
GACGAACGCUGGCGGCGUGCUUAACACAUGCAAGUCGAACGGAAAGGCCCUGCGCUUGUGGGGUGCUCGAGUGGCGAACGGGUGAGUAACACGUGAGUAACCUGCCCUUGACUUUGGGAUAACUUCAGGAAACAGGGGCUCAUAUCGGAUAGGAGCUCCUGCUGCAUGGUGGGGGUUGGAAAGUUUCGGCGGUUGGGGAUGGACUCGCGGCUUAUCCGCUUGUUGGUGGGGUAGGGGCAUACCAAGGCUUUGACGGGUAGCCGGCCUGAGAGGGUGACCGGCCACAUUGGGACUGAGAUACGGCCCAGACUGCUACGGGAGGCAGCAGUGGAGAAUAUUGCACAAUGGGCGGAAGCCUGAUGCAGCAACGCCGCGUGCGGGAUGACGGCCUUCGGGUUGUAAACCGCUUUCGCCUGAGACGAAGCGUGAGUGACGGUAAUGGGUAAAGAAGCACCGGCUAACUACGUG